rnacentral:rRNA from 1 species
GAAGCCAAUGCGGCGUGCUAUAAUGCAAGUCGAGCGGACAGAUGGGAGCUUGCUCCCUGAUGUCAGCGGCGGACGGGUGAGUAACACGUGGGUAACCUGCCUGUAAGACUGGGAUAACUCCGGGAAACCGGGGCUAAUACCGGAUGCUUGAUUGAACCGCAUGGUUCAAUUAUAAAAGGUGGCUUUUACCUACCCCUUACAAAUGGACCCCCGCCCCAUUACCUAUUUGGGGAGGUAACGGCUCACCAAGGCAACAAUGCUUACCCAACCUGAAAGGGGGAUCGGCCACCCGGGGACGGAAACCCGGCCCAAACCCCUACGGGAGGCACCAUUAGGGAACCUUCCCCAUGGAACAAAAUUCUAACGAACCACCCCCCCGGGAUUGAUGAAGGUUUUCGAACCGAAAAAUCCUGUUGUUAGGGAAAAACAGGUACCGUUCAA